rnacentral:lncRNA from 1 species
CCUAAAGACCGUCAGGCUUUGAAACUAUCAGUACUACAACUUACUAAAAAGAUUAAAUAAAGUUGAGUGACGUCAUCAAGCACUGAACUUUAUAAGUUGUUAGUACCGAUAAGCAGGACUGAACUGGACCGACAUAACACUAAUAAUAAUAUAAGAGUUGCUGGCUUGAGAGGUUUGAUUGAUAUACUGUCAAUCGUUUCAGAUGGAAAUUCAACGAAAAAGGCUUGAAAGUUCAUUUGGAUAACGUUUGCAAGUCUGAUGUAAGCAGUCUCGAGUGGGCCCUUAAUCUGAUCUGGUUGCAUUUCAAAUUAUCUAAGUGAUUGAAAGAAGAAAAGAUGACUUCAAAGUUUCUUACCAAUGUGGAACAUGGAAACCACAUAAUGUUAUCACAUCGCUGCUGCGAAUUGUAGGGUUGUCGAGCUUUGAAGAUUCAAUAAGGAGAUCUUUACAAUUCUAGGUUUGAAGUUCGAAGGAUCUUAUAAACGAAAUUAAUUUAUUACUACAACUUGCUUUUAAUUAAAGUCGUAUUUCGAGUCUUUGUUAAAAAGUCCAAGUCUUUAAAUAAUUUAAUCUUAUUCAGUUUGAGUCAUCUAUUAUUUUGAUUGAGUCGUCAAAAUUCUUUAGUACUGAUUUCUAGUCAAAAAAUUAUAAUAUAGGGUCCAUAGCGUAUAGGAUUUUCUUUAGUUGAGUAUAAAUUAGCUUUCAAGUCGUUAGUUUUUUAUCAAUCAUGUCCAAGUCAAGCCUUUGAUUGUGAAAUUAAGUUGAGCUGAAAGUCUACCAAAAAUUAGCUCAGGUACCAGUGUACUCGCAAGUCCAUGUCCCAUAUCUGGUAUUCAAUUAAUUCACAACUUAAUGAAAAUACAUAAAUUCAAAAAAUGGAUUUACAGUUUCAGUGGAGAGAGAUUUUUUAAAGAUAAUUUUCAAUAAAAUAAGACAUUAGAUUACUUUUAUAUUAUUCCUUGCAUUUAAAAAGCGCCUCCCAUUAAAUACAGCAAUACAAAUUACCAAUACUUAAUUUUUAUUUAGUUGAAGAUUUUCCUAAUAAUUAACAUUAAUUCACAUAUCUUACCGAUAGAUAACAGAAUAUUUCUCAGAAAU